rnacentral:rRNA from 1 species
AGGACGAACGCUGGCGGCGUGCCUAACACAUGCAAGUCGAACGGAGCGAAAGAAGCUUGCUUCUGGCGCUUAGUGGCGGACGAGUGAGUAACACGUGAGCAACCUGCCUUUCAGAGGGAAAUAAUGUCUGGAAACGGACACUAAUACCGCAUAAUAUCUUUUAACUGCAUGGUUGAAAGAUCAAAGGAGCAAUCCGCUGAAAGAUGGGCUCGCGUCUGAUUAGCCAGUUGGCGGGGUAACGGCCCACCAAAGCGACGAUCAGUAGCCGGACUGAGAGGUUGAACGGCCACAUUGGGACUGAGACACGGCCCAGACUCCUACGGGAGGCAGCAGUGGGGGAUAUUGCACAAUGGGGGGAACCCUGAUGCCAGCAACGCCGCGUGCAGGAAGACGGUCUUCGGAUUGUAAACUGUUGUUCUUCGUGACGAUAAUGACGGUAGCGAAGAAGGAAGCCACGGCUAACUACGUGCCAGCAGCCGC